GAUGAACGCUGGCGGCGUGCUUAACACAUGCAAGUCGAACGAUGAAGCCCAGCUUGCUGGGUGGAUUAGUGGCGAACGGGUGAGUAACACGUGAGUAACCUGCCCUUAACUCUGGGAUAAGCCUGGGAAACGGGGUCUAAUACCGGAUAGGAGCGCCUACCGCAUGGGGGGUGUUGGAAAGAUUUAUCGGUUUUGGAUGGACUCGCGGCCUAUCAGCUUGUUGGUGAGGUAUUGUCUCACCAAGGCGACGACGGGGAGCCGGCCUGAGAGGGUGACCGGCCACACUGGGACUGAGACACGGCCCAGACUCCUACGGGAGGCAGCAGUGGGGAAUAUUGCACAAUGGGCGAAAGCCUGAUGCAGCGACGCCGCGUGGGGGAAGACGGCCUUCGGGUUGUAAACCUCUUUCAGUAGGGAAGAAGCGAAAGUGACGGUACCUGCAGAAGAAGCACCGGCUAACUACGUG
rnacentral:rRNA from 1 species